CAGGGCAAAAAGGCAGAAAGGAGUCCCAACCAAGGCAAAAAAGGAGAGGGAGCUCCCAUCCAGGGCAAAAAGGCAGAUUCGGUUGCUAAUCAGGGCACAAAGGUAGAGGGUAUUACAAACCAGGGGAAAAAAGCAGAAGGGUCCCCCAGUGAAGGCAAAAAGGCAGAAGGGUCCCCCAACCAAGGCAAAAAGGCAGACGCAGCUGCCAAUCAGGGUAAAAAGACAGAGUCAGCUUCUGUCCAGGGCAGAAAUACAGAUGUGGCCCAGAGCCCAGAGGCACCAAAGCAAGAGGCUCCUGCCAAGAAGAAGUCUGGUUCAAAGAAAAAAGGUGAGCCUGGCAGAACGCAGAGCUGGCCAAGCUUCGGCAGGAGCUCAGCAAGGUCAGCAAAGAGCUGGUGGAGAAGUCAGAGGCUGUGCGGCAAGAUGAGCAGCAGCGGAAAGCUCUGGAAGCCAAGGCAGCUGCCUUCGAGAAGCAGGUCCUGCAGCUGCAGGCGUCCCACAGGGAGAGUGAGGAGGCCCUGCAGAAGCGCCUGGACGAGGUCAGCCGGGAGCUGUGCCACACGCAGAGCAGCCACGCCAGCCUCCGGGCGGAUGCCGAGAAGGCCCAGGAGCAACAGCAGCAGAUGGCCGAGCUGCACAGCAAGUUACAGUCCUCCGAGGCGGAGGUGCGCAGCAAAUGCGAGGAGCUGAGUGGCCUCCACGGGCAGCUCCAGGAGGCCAGGGCGGAGAACUCCCAGCUCACAGAGAGAAUCCGUUCCAUUGAGGCCCUGCUGGAGGCGGGCCAGGCGCGGGAUGCCCAGGACGUCCAG
rnacentral:lncRNA from 1 species